GAAAUGCGAUAAGUAAUGUGAAUUGCAGAAUUCCGUGAAUCAUCAAAUCUUUGAACGCAAAUUGCACUCUUUGGUAUUCCGAGGAGUAUGCUUGUUUGAGGGUUGUUCCAAUAAAAUCGUUUUUUAAAAAAACGGAUCUGAGUUUUCCAAGGUUUUAUUAUUUUGGUAACUUUAAAUUUAUCUUAACGAUAUCUUUGGUUAUGAUAUUGGAAAUGGUUAUAUUCUUACAUCUUGUGAGUUUCAUUAACAAUUGAUUACCUGUCGUUACGUCGUAUUAUUUGCCUGAUCCUUUUUAAUUGGGUUACAUAAUACAAAUUUUCUUUCAACACCUCAAGUCAAGUAAGAAUACCCGCUGAACUUAA
rnacentral:misc_RNA from 1 species